GAGCUGGGUUCAGAACGUCGUGAGACAGUUCGGUCCAUAUCCGGUGUAGGCGUUAGAAUAUUGAGAGGAGCCUUCUUUAGUACGAGAGGACCGAGAAGGACAUACCUCUGGUGUACCAGUUAUCGUGCCAACGGUAAACGCUGGGUAGCUAUGUAUGGAGUGGAUAACCGCUGAAAGCAUCUAAGUGGGAAGCCCACCUCAAGAUAAGUAUUCUCAUCACGUAAGUGAGUAAGGUCACGGUAAGACUAACCGUUUGAUAGGCAUUAAGUGUAAGUAUAGUAAUAUAUGUGCUGAGAUGUCCUAAUAGACCGAGGACUUG
rnacentral:rRNA from 13 species